GAAGAAAUGGCUCAUUGGUUAAGAGCACUGUCUACUUCUCCAGAGGAUCUGGGUUCAAUUCCCAGUACCCACA
rnacentral:tRNA from 1 species